AAGGAGUCUAACACAUGCGCAAGUAUUAGGGUGGAAAACCCAUGUGCGUAAUGAAAGUGAUAAGGUGGGAACGUUGUGCACCGUCGACCGGCCUUGAAAUUUAUUGAGAGAUCUGCGUAAGAGCAUGUCUGUUAGGACCCGAAAGAUGGUGAACUAUGCCUGAAUAGGGCGAAGCCAGAGGAAACUCUGGUGGAGGCUCGUAGCGAUUCUGACGUGCAAAUCGAUCGUCAAAUUUGGGUAUAGGGGCGAAAGACUAAUCGAACCAUCUAGUAGCUGGUUCCCUC
rnacentral:misc_RNA from 1 species